AGGAAUUUAGGUUAACAUAGACCAAGAGCCUUCAAAGCUCUAAGCAAAUAAACAAUUAUUUAAUUCCUG
rnacentral:tRNA from 1 species